UCCGGUUGAUCCUGCCAGAGGCCACUGCUAUCGGGGUUCGACUAAUCCAUGCGAGUCGAGAGGGUUCGGCCCUCGGCGUACUGCUCAGUAACACGUGGACAACCUGCCCUAAGGUGAGGGAUAACCCCGGGAAACUGGGGAUAAUACCUCAUAAUCUACAGAUGCUGGAAUGCUCUGUAGGUGAAAGGUCAGCCGCCUUAGGAUGGGUCUGCGGCCGAUUAGGUAGUUGUUGGGGUAACGGCCCAACAAGCCUGUAAUCGGUACGGGUUGUGGGAGCAAGAGCCCGGAGAUGGAUUCUGAGACAAGAAUCCAGGCCCUACGGGGCGCAGCAGGAGCGGAAACUUUACAAUGCAGGUAACCUGUGAUAAGGGAACCCCGAGUGCCCGUAUGGACGGGCUGUUCAGGUGUGUAAAGAACACCUGGAGAAAGGGCCGGGCAAGACCGGUGCCAGCCGCCGCGGUAAUACCGGCGGCUCGAGUGGUGGCCACUAUUACUGGGCUUAAAGCGUCCGUAGCUGGGUAGUUAAGUCUCUUGGGAAAUCUUCCGGCUCAACCGGAAGGCGUCUAAGGGAUACUGGCUACCUAGGGAUCGGGAGAAGGUGAGAGGUACUCUGGGGGUAGGAGUGAAAUCCUGUAAUCCUUAGGGGACCACCUGUGGCGAAGGCGUCUCACCAGAACGACUCCGACAGUGAGGGACGAAAGCUGGGGGAGCAAACCGGAUUAGAUACCCGGGUAGUCCCAGCUGUAAACUAUGCGUGUUAGGUGUAUCGGUGACCACGAGUUACCGAGGUGCCGAAGGGAAACCGUGAAACGCGCCGCCUGGGAAGUACGGUCGCAAGGCUGAAACUUAAAGGAAUUGGCGGGGGAGCACCACAACGGGUGGAGCCUGCGGUUUAAUUGGACUCAACGCCGGACAGCUCACCGGGUAGGACAGCGAUAUGAUAGCCGGGCUGAAGACCUUGCUUGAUCAGCUGAGAGGAGGUGCAUGGCCGUCGUCAGUUCGUACUGUGAAGCAUCCUGUUAAGUCAGGUAACGAGCGAGACCCA
rnacentral:rRNA from 1 species